UAUGAUCAUAUGUAAAUUGAUAAUUAUUGUGUACCUGUAAAACUGAUUUCUAUCCAAUCAAUAUAUAAUCUUUUUUAUUUAAAUUUGAUUAGUAGAGGGUUGUUUAGCCAUUUUUAUAUAUUAUACAAUAUAAUUCCAAGAUUAAACAACUAGAUUUAUGGAAACAAAAUUAAAUCAUUGAUUGACUAUUAACUAUUUCACGUCUUCUCCCUUUCAUAUCUAAAGCUCCAGCGAAUCCUAGACUUGAUUCAUGCAACCAUCUUGUUCAAUUCACCAGGCUGUGAAAACACAAAGAUCAAAAGGAGAAGGGGAUUGCUCAGAUGUCGGCGCCACCAAAACAUCACUCGCUUCUUCAAAGUCUCACAAAUUCGAUUAAUUCGCAGCUUCAUCUUCUAUGGAUCAUCUUUGAUUUUUUGGAUCUAUCAUCCUUCGCUCAUUGAAAUCUACAAGCGUUGAUAUUCCAGCCUUAAAUAAAAUCAAAGAAUGGUAAAAAAUGGCGAACAAGAGUAUCUUGUUGUA